rnacentral:rRNA from 1 species
UCGUGUCGUGAGAUGUGGGUUAAGUCCCGCAACGAGCGCAACCCUAUGUAGUUGCCAUCAUUCAGUUGGGCACUCUAGCGAGACUGCCGGUAAUAAACCGGAGGAAGGUGGGGAUGACGUCAAAUCAUCAUGCCCCUUAUGACCUGGGCUACACACGUGCUACAAUGGUUGGUACAACGAGUUGCGAGUCGGUGACGGCGAGCUAAUCUCUUAAAGCCAAUCUCAGUUCGGAUUGUAGGCUGCAACUCGCCUACAUGAAGUCGGAAUCGCUAGUAAUCGCGGAUCAGCACGCCGCGGUGAAUACGUUCCCGGGCCUU